AAAUAUGAAAUUCAUUAAUAAAUUUAAAAAAUGUAGUACAAUUAAUAGAAAUACAAUAACUAAGAAAAUUAAUCAUAAUACUAAAAAAGAGUUUAAUACCUUUUGAAUCGCAAUAUCAUGAUACUACAAAGUUGAAAUAGUAUUCACAAGUAAUUAUUAUUGAAUAAAUGGAUAAAAUUUAUUACAAAUGUACAUGAUGAUGAUGAUGAUGAUGAUGAUGAUGAUGAUGAUGAUGAUAAUAAUAAUAAUAAUAAAAUUUAGAAUUAAAAUUUAUUGUAUAACAAAUGGACAAAUAUACCCUUAAAAAAUUGAUGCAAAAUGGAAGAUGAUGUUAAAAAGAUAAAAUGGUGCAAAUGAAUUUGAUGCAAUUUGGUGAAUUAUGGUGCAAUGGAAUGGGGUUAGAGAUGCUCUUAUAUCUUCUUUGUGAGAACCACCAGAUUAAGGCCUGACACCAUUUGUCAAUGUCACGAAGGUUGAAAUGGUAAUUUAGACUAACGUUAUAAUUACGUUUAAAUUUUAUUUAGCUAGACUUUUUUCCAGAGCGAAGCCCAACUUCUUAUAUAUUGGCUCCUUUAAUUGAUUUAUUUGCUAAGAAAAUUGAGUUCAUGUUUGGGUUCCAUUUUCCAAAAAAUACUUUUUUUUUUCAAAGAGAAAAAUUCAUAUUUCAAGUAUUAAGUAUAUGCCAG
rnacentral:lncRNA from 1 species